rnacentral:rRNA from 1 species
UACGAAGGGGGCUAGCGUUGUUCGGAAUCACUGGGCGUAAAGCGCGCGUAGGCGGAUCGUUAAGUCGGGGGUGAAAUCCUGAGGCUCAACCUCAGAACUGCCUUCGAUACUGGCGAUCUUAGAGUCCGGGAGAGGUGAGUGGAACUCCUAGUGUAGAGGUGAAAUUCGUAGACAUUAGGAAGAACACCAGUGGCGAAGGCGGCUCACUGGCCCGGUACUGACGCUGAUGUGCGAAAGCGUGGGGAGCAAACAGG